UGCCUUUGAUAUAUAAGAAGGAGCCUGUGC
rnacentral:piRNA from 1 species